rnacentral:rRNA from 1 species
UACGAAGGGGGGCUAGCGUUGUUCGGAAUUACUGGGCGUAAAGCGCGCGCAGGCGGCUAUCCAAGUCAGUGGUGAAAGCCCGGAGCCUCAACUCCGGAACUGCCAUUGAAACUGUUUAGCUUGAGGACGAGAGAGGUGAGUGGAAUUCCCAGUGUAGAGGUGAAAUUCGUAGAUAUUGGGAAGAACACCGGUGGCGAAGGCGGUUCUCUGGGCCUGUACUGACGCUGAGGAGCGAAAGCGUGGGGAGCGAACAGG